rnacentral:rRNA from 1 species
AACGAACGCUGGCGGCAGGCCUAACACAUGCAAGUCGAACGCCCCGCAAGGGGAGUGGCGCACGGGUGAGUAACGCGUGGGAAUAUGCCCUUUGGUUCGGAAUAACACAGGGAAAUUUGUGCUAAUACCGGUUCAGAUCUACGGAUGAAAGAUUUAUCGCCUAGGGAGUAGCCCGCGUAGGAUUAGCUAGUUGGUGAGGUAAGGGCUCCCAAAGUGGGCGAUCCUUAGCUGGUCUGAGAGGAUGAUCAGCAAAACUGGGACUGAGACAGGGCCCAGACUCCUACGGGAGGCAGCAGUGGGAAAUAUUGGACAGUGGGCGAAAGCCUGAUCCUGCCAUGCCGCGUGAGUGAUGAAGGCCUUAGGGUUGUAAAGCUCUUUCGCCAGGGAAGAUAAUGACGGUACCUGGAAAAGAAGCCUCGGCUAACUCCGUGCCAGCCGCCGCCGUAA